GGGGUUGUAGCUCAGUGGUAGAGUGCUUGCAUCACAUGCAUGAGGCCCUGAGUUCAAUCCUCAGCACCACUU
rfam:Ictidomys tridecemlineatus contig124300, whole genome shotgun sequence.